rnacentral:rRNA from 1 species
GUGGAUUAGAUACCCUGGUAGUCCACGCCGUAAACGAUGAGUGCCAGGUGUCGGGGGUAUCGACCCCCCCGGUGCCGUCGCCAACGCAUUAAGCACUCCGCCUGGGGAGUACGGCCGCAAGGUUGAAACUCAAAGGAAUUGACGGGGGCCCGCACAAGCGGUGGAGCAUGUGGAUUAAUUCGUCACUAACCGAAGAACCUUACCCAGGUUUGACAUCUAUCGCACCGGGGUGAAAGCCUCGUUCCCUUCGGGGACGGUAAGACAGGUGUUGCACGGUCGGCGUCAGCU